rnacentral:rRNA from 1 species
AGUGAUCCGGUGGUUCUGAAUGGAAGGGCCAUCGCUCAACGGAUAAAAGGUACUCCGGGGAUAACAGGCUGAUACCGCCCAAGAGUUCAUAUCGACGGCGGUGUUUGGCACCUCGAUGUCGGCUCAUCACAUCCUGGGGCUGAAGUAGGUCCCAAGGGUAUGGCUGUUCGCCAUUUAAAGUGGUACGCGAGCUGGGUUUAGAACGUCGUGAGACAGUUCGGUCCCUAUCUGCCGUGGGCGCUGGAGAAUUGAGGGGGGCUGCUCCUAGUACGAGAGGACCGGAGUGGACGCAUCACUGGUGUUCGGGUUGUCAUGCCAAUGGCACUGCCCGGUAGCUAAAUGCGGAAGAGAUAAGUGCUGAAAGCAUCUAAGCACGAAACUUGCCCCGAGAUGAGUUCUCCCUGACUCCU